CACGUAGGGGGCAAGCGUUGUCCGGAUUUAUUGGGCGUAAAGAGCUCGUAGGCGGUUCGCUAAGUCGGGUGUGAAAACUCUGGGCUCAACUCAGAGACGCCACCCGAUACUGGCGUGACUCGAGUCCGGUAGGGGAGCAUGGAAUUCCUGGUGUAGCGGUGAAAUGCGUAGAUAUCGUCAGGAAUGCCGGUGGUGAAGACGGGUGACUGGGCUGGUUCUGACACUGAGGCACGAAAGCGUGGGGAGCGAACGGG
rnacentral:rRNA from 1 species